GUUUGGGGACCUUGCUGAGUCUCCAGGCCAGGCUGAGAAAUUCCCCUGGUGUGGCCUCAUGCAGGAACAUGGGAGCCAUGCGGGGUCAAAGACACUGGUAUGUUAGAGGCUGGAGAAGCUAAUUUCAUGAGACCUGAAGCCAUGUGCCACCCACUGCCUCAGGAAUAGAGAGUGAGCUGGGAACCUACACCCCAGACCCAGAAGAAAGGGCAGAUUCUCUCCCCCGUGAAUGAGACUCUCUGGCCACCCCUCCAGCCCAGGCUGUCCACCUCUACCUCCCAGCAAUGUCUCCCUGAGGUGAAUCCCUCACAGCGCAGCACACAAGGAGACAAAUCAAAUCUCGGGAUGUUCAGGGUGGUUCAGCCGUAUGACGUCCCAGGUCAAAAUUUUCCGAACCACAGACAGGGGGAGCCAGGGAUGAGCCGUGUCUGGAUCCAGAGUCACACUCGCUGGGGAGAGAAGCAGAGCGCUUCAGGCAGAGCUCAGCCCCCACAGGAGAGCCUGGCCCCAAGGGAAGGUUCUCGGGGAAAGCCCCUCACCCAGGAGAAGGGGGAAAAGUGUGACAUUUCUGAGCAACCUCUCUGCUCCAUUUUCCUCAUUAAAUACAAAAAAGGAACCUGGGGUGGGAUUUUCAGGAACACCUAAGGGCACAAGGCCCAUUGGGACUUGACUUGUGCUACCGACUCUCUUAGAUGCUCCUGACAAUCCCACCCAGAAAUGUCCAUGAGCAGUGCCGGGGCAGAGUAAAGGGUGUUUGGGGGUCAGUCGGUGAGAUGGUUUCUGUGUAUUCCGGGUGUGUGAACUGGUUGCUCAGGCUGAUGUUGGGAUCUUUGGUGCACAAUGAAGCCAGGCCCCCACUCAGCUCGAUGGGACAUUUCUGCGCCUGUCACACGACGGCUUUGGAGAACAUCCGCUCAGUUCCGGACCCGAUGGGCCUGGUCGAGGCACAAACGGGUAGAACCCUGCUGACUUUGGGGACAAUCAGAAAACUGGAAAAGCCCAAUUUCCACUAAAGUCGGGUCCACAGAGGCCUAGGAUGAUGUGGGCAGAGGAAUCUCUCUGGCUCCCCCUGCUGAUGUCUAUAUGUAUGACAAGUAGCUGCUAGGAGGGUUCGCACACUGCAUUGCUUAUGUAGGCUGAGCUGUAUGACCAGCUGGGCCCUUCUCCCCUAAUACAACCCAUCACCACAGCCAGGCCCCUACCCUCACUAUGCACAGCCCCCCAGCCAGUCCCCCUAUCACUCCGAGCCAGUCCCCUCACUCCCACCUUGUCCCGAAUGCCCUCCAACCAUGCCCCUCGUCCCCAUUCUGAUCAGCCAUCACAGCCAUGCCCUUAAGCCCUGUCAUAACUAUAAAGGGAAGGGUAACAGCUCUCCUGUGUACAGUACUAUAAAAUCCCUCCUGGCCAGAGACUCCAAAAUCCUUUUCCCUGUAAAGGGUUAAGAAGC